CCGUUGCCGGCGACCGGCGCACGGGUGAGUAACACGUAUGCAACCUGCCCGUGGCAGGGGGAUAAGCGGGGAAACCCCGUCUAAUACCGCGUAACGCGGCCUAGGGACAUCCCAAGGCCGCCAAAGGGAGCAAUCCCGGCCACGGAUGGGCAUGCGGCGCAUUAGCUAGUCGGCGGGGUAACGGCCCACCGAGGCGACGAUGCGUAGGGGUUCUGAGAGGAAGGCCCCCCACACUGGUACUGAGACACGGACCAGACUCCUACGGAAGGCAGCAG
rnacentral:rRNA from 1 species